UACGGAGGAUGCAAGCGUUAUCCGGAAUGAUUGGGCGUAAAGCGUCCGCAGGUGGCUAUGUAAGUCUGCUGUUAAAGAGUGAGGCUCAACCUCAUAAGUGCAGUGGAAACUACAUGGCUAGAGUGCGUUCGGGGCAGAGGGAAUUCCUGGUGUAGCGGUGAAAUGCGUAGAGAUCAGGAAGAACACCGGUGGCGAAAGCGCUCUGCUAGGCCGCAACUGACACUGAGGGACGAAAGCUAGGGGAGCGAAUGGG
rnacentral:rRNA from 1 species